rnacentral:rRNA from 1 species
UACGUAUGAGGCAAGCGUUGUUCGGAAUUAUUGGGCGUAAAGGGCAUUCAGGCGGGAUGUUAAGUCGGAUGUGAAAUCUCAAGGCUCAACCUUGAAACUGCAUCCGAUACUGGCAUUCUUGAGUCAGGGAGAGGAAGGCGGAAUUCCCGGUGUAGCGGUGAAAUGCGUAGAUAUCGGGAAGAACACCAGUGGCGAAGGCGGCCUUCUGGCCUAUGACUGACGCUGAAGUGCGAAAGCGUGGGGAUCAAACGGG